UUUUAGUCUCAGCAGAGAUCAGGAGCUGCCUGCCCCAGGUUGGAUAGAGUCGAUUCCAGAUGGCUCUAAAAGAAGAUCAUGGCUGGCCAAGGUUGAGUCCAUCAGUAAUGCUGGUGACACCACUGUGAAAACAUAUUUAAGAAAGGGAACUCUGAAGAUUCCAAGAUGAAGCAAUAUGUAAUCACUGAUUCUGAGAAUAUCUGUGCUGCCUGAACCAUGACACUGUAAGAAGCAACUUCAAAGGAGCAACUGAUAGUGUAUAAUUUAUCUGUCCCUUGAUGUUACAAAAGAUUAAAUUGAGCCUAUUAAUUUC